UUGCGCUUGCGCACGGAGGGGCCGGAAGUCGAGGCGGGAGUGACUCUGCUUCCGUUUCUGGUUUUGCUCUAGUGUUUGGGUUUCUUCGCGGCCGCUCAAGAUGAACCGACUCUUCGGGAAAGCCAAACCCAAGGCUCCGCCGCCCAGCCUGACUGACUGCAUUGGCACGGUGGACAGCAGAGCAGAAUCCAUUGACAAGAAGAUUUCUCGAUUGGAUGCUGAGCUAGUGAAGUAUAAGGAUCAGAUCAAGAAGAUGAGAGAGGGUCCUGCAAAGAAUAUGGUCAAGCAGAAAGCCUUGCGAGUUUUAAAGCAAAAGAGAAUGUAUGAGCAGCAGCGGGACAAUCUUGCCCAACAGUCAUUCAACAUGGAACAAGCCAAUUAUACCAUCCAGUCAUUGAAGGACACCAAGACCACGGUUGAUGCUAUGAAACUGGGAGUAAAGGAAAUGAAGAAGGCAUACAAGCAAGUGAAGAUCGACCAGAUUGAGGAUUUACAAGACCAGCUAGAGGAUAUGAUGGAAGAUGCAAAUGAAAUCCAAGAAGCACUGAGUCGCAGUUAUGGCACCCCAGAACUGGAUGAAGAUGAUUUAGAAGCAGAGUUGGAUGCACUGGGUGAUGAGCUUCUGGCUGAUGAAGACAGUUCUUAUUUGGAUGAGGCAGCAUCUGCACCUGCAAUUCCAGAAGGUGUUCCCACUGAUACAAAAAACAAGGUGAAAGCUUUUUCUGUUUAUAUUUCAAUGCAAAAUAGCAAAGGCUUUAUGCUUGACCAUAAGUCUGGGAAUCUAAAAGGUAGUCUUACACAAGAACAAAGAAAGACAGUCCUGGUCAUUAUUUUGUGAACCCUUGAAGGUCCAGUUUUUCUGCAUUGGAUGAUGAACUGACUGCAUAAACACUGUCACUGAGGUUCAGGAAUAUUUUUAUACAAUGACAAUUUGUGUAACAUACAUAAUCACCCUUCUUGUGAGCUGGCACUGGGUACCACUGAUGGGUCUUAGACAUUUCCUGUAAAAGCGUAAGCAACACAUGCAUGAGACUUGCUAGGCAGCAGUGAAAAAGUCUCACUCUCCAUACACACCAGUUAAUUACUGACUGGAUUUUUAAUUUUAUUUUCCUUUCUUUUUCUUUUUUUUUUUUUUCCUGUACACACAGGAGUUUAGAAUGGGUGGAUUUUCUAAACUAUGGAUUAAUAAUUUAAGCAUAAAAUUUAAUGUAGAAAGAUUCUAGUUUAAGGCAAAAGAAUCAGAACACCUGACACUAAGUAUGACUAAUUACUUAGCUAUUGUAAGCUUUUCUUUUCCUUGCAUCUGUAAAAUGCAGAUAAUUACAAGUAUCUCACAUAAUUGUUGUGCAAGCAAAUUAGAUCUUGUAUGUAAAGGACUUUGCAAACUUAAAGCUCUGUCCAAAUCUACAUGAUUGUCUUUUUUUUUUGAGACAGAGACUCAUUCUGUCACUCAGGCUGGAGUGCAGUGGCAUGAUCUCAGCUCACUGCAACCUCCGCCCCCCUGGUUCAAGCAAUCCUCGUGCCUCAGCCACCCCAGGUAGCUGGGAUUACAGGCGUGAGCCACCGCGCCCGGCCUGUUGUUGUUUUUAAAGUAAAGGAAUAAAAGAAUGGCUACUCCAUAGGCAGAGCAGCCCUGGUGUUUUCAUUGAUAGUGAUGUCGCUGCCUAUGAUUAUAGUAAAGCAUGAUAUGGAAGUGACUGCCUAUCCAAGGGCACUGCUCCUUCAAGGAUUUGGGAGGCUAAGAAAGGUAUUGGUCCACAUUAGGGAUCAGAGUGAAAAUGCAAAUCUGGAGGCAAGGACCCACUCCUCAACCUUUCCUUUUUGACCCUCCUAGCCUCCUUUUCCCCUUUCCAGGUUUACUCUUAGAUUUCUCUUUCUCCCUCUUUCACUCUCUUUCCCCUGUGGAGGAGUCCCCUUUUGGCCCUUUCUAGUUCUCUUCUUGAUUCAUCACUUCCUCCUUUACCUUUCAUGAAAAAGCUUGUUCUCAUCUUAUGAGUGCAAUUUUGGUUUUGAUUGAUUAAAUACUUGGAAAUGAGUUUUAACUAUUAAAUGUUUGUAAUCCUUUUUUUUUUUUUUAUCAAAUAGAAAAAUAGUGGCACUAAACAUUGCUUCCUUUUUACAGGAUGGAGUUCUGGUGGAUGAAUUUGGAUUGCCACAGAUCCCUGCUUCAUAGAUUUGCAUCAUUCAAGUGUAUCUUGUAAAACAAACACAUACUAUGGGACUAGGAAAUAUUUAUCUUUCCAAAUUUGCCAUAACAGAUUUAGGUUUCUUUCCUUUCUUUGAAGGAAAGUUUAAUUACAUUGCUCUUUUAUUUUUUCCAUUAAGAGACUCAUUGCUUGGGAAAUGCUUUCUUCGUACUAAAAUUUGAUUCCUUUUUUUCUUAUGAAAAACGAACUCAGUUUAAAAGUAUUUUUAGCUCGUAUGACUUGUUUUCAUUCAUUAAUAAUAAUUUGAAAUAAAACUAAGGAAAUGGAAUCUUAAAAGUCUAUGACAGUGUAACUCUACAGUCUCAAAAUGACCUGAUAAAUUGAUAAGACAAAGAUGAGAUUAUUGGGGCUGUUCAUAUUAUGAUUCAGAAUCAUUUUCUAUUGUGGUAUUAUAGGUUGGUUAAAGUGAUGGCCUUUUUGAUGGGUUUUGUUGUGUCUUGUGAACAAGUCUUACUGUGUCCAUUAUUGGAAUGGAAUUAUCACUACUGUAUCAUGAGUGGGUAUUUUGAUUCUAUGGUUCCCUCAGUAUUACAUCUUGACUUGUAAUCAAUAAUGAAUAUUUCUUGAUAUUUAAUGUAUAGGACAUUUAUUUAUACUCAAUAAAUAUUUUUCAAAAGGA